CAAAACAUGGCUUCACGAAUUUAAUUUAUGUGAAGUCGUACCUGCCCAGUGAAGUUUUAACGGCCGCGGUACUCUGACCGUGCAAAGGUAGCAUAAUAAUUUGCCUUAUAAUUGAAGGCUGGAAUGAAUGGUUUGUCAAGGAUAAAACUGUCUCUAUAAAAUUUUAUAGAAUUUUAUUUUUAGGUGAAAAAGCCUAAAUUUUAUUAAAAGACAAGAAGACCCUAUCGAGCUUUAAAGAACUUAAUAAAUAUUUAUAACUAGUUUGAAGUUUAAUUAUUAAAAAUUUUGGUUGGGGCAACCUAGGAGUAAAUAAAGCCUCCUUUUUUAAAAAGACUAUUUUGUUAGGAUCCAAAAGUUUUGAUCAAAAGAAAUAGUUACCGUAGGGAUAACAGCAUUAUUUUUUUUAAGAGCUCUUAUCGAAAAAAAAGUUUGUGACCUCGAUGUUGGACCAGAAUAUCCUGAAGAUGUAGAAGUCUUCAAGGGUUGGUCUGUUCGACCAUUAAAAUUCUACGUGAUC
rnacentral:rRNA from 1 species